rnacentral:rRNA from 1 species
GUCCGGAAUUACUGGGCGUAAAGCGCGCGYAGGCGGUCCCUUAAGUCUGAUGUGAAAGCCCACGGCUCAACCGUGGAGGGUCAUUGGAAACUGGGGGACUUGAGCGCAGGAGAGGAGAGCGGAAUUCCACGUGUAGCGGUGAAAUGCGUAGAGAUGUGGAGGAACACCAGUGGCGAAGGCGGCUCUCUGGUCUGUAACUGACGCUGAGGCGCGAAAGCGUGGGGAGCAAACAGGAUUAGAUACCCUGGUAGUCCACGCCGUAAACGAUGAGUGCUAAGUGUUAGAGGGGUUCUCCCCUUAAUUCCUUCACCACCCUUAACACUCCCCCUUGGGGUUACCGGCCCCAAGCUG